ACCACACGUCAGCUCCGCCCUCAACUCGGGGAGGUAGAGAGGGACCGAAGAUUGAUUGAGUUGCUCACCAAAGGUCAAUUCUGCAUCCACAGUGAAGACUCCGCAGUGGCCCAGGAGGGCAGAGUCAGAGGAUGCAGAACCAGGAAGGUGCAGGUGCCUUGUUCCCCUCCCCACCUGCCUUGAGCUCUCCGUCUCCCAUCAGGCUCCUGAUCUGUAUUCUUCACAGAAUCCGGUAGAAUAAAUCCAGAGCACAGGUGGGGAUCUGGACCCGUGGGGGCAGCUCUGUGGGCCUGAGCCCUCCACCCGCGGGGUCCAAUGGCGCCUCCAGCUACACCCUAAAAGUCAUGAGUGGCCUCCUUCUCCUCCUCCCGCGGCUCACUGCAGCGUUGAGACUCUGGUUGGAGUAAAUUGAGGGUCUCCUUUCCCUCCUCCCUUGGAGCCCUGAAGGAGGCCCUCUUGGAGCCUCUGUACCUUCCUGGCCACCACCCUUCAACCAGCUGCUCCUCCCCAGCCCUUCUCUGUGACAUUCAGGGCCCUCGGGGCAAAUUUCCAAGAGAUCCUGCCUAAGUCUUGGAUUGGAGGUUUAGACCUUCAAUCCCAGCACUCUGGGCGGCUGCGGGCCAACGAUGGAACCCAGCAAAUAACCCAGGUUAUUUAAUAACCAUUUUUUUUUAAAGACUGGGGUAUAGCGCAGUGCUAAGGUGUCAGGUUCAAUCCCUAGUAUUGCAAAGAAAAAAGUGUCUCAAGUCAAAGCAAAGACAAAAGUAGACAUUCCUGUGCCCUCGAAGACCCCGAAGGAAGGUGUCUGGGUGGCAGGCCCAGAAGGAAGAGGGGUGGUUCCAGCAAUAUUUCUC